rnacentral:rRNA from 1 species
UACGAAGGGGGCUAGCGUUGUUCGGAAUUACUGGGCGUAAAGCGCACGUAGGCGGAUGUGUCAGUCAGGGGUGAAAUCCCGGGGCUCAACCUCGGAACUGCCUUUGAUACAGCACGUCUCGAGUCCGGAAGAGGUGGGUGGAAUUCCUAGUGUAGAGGUGAAAUUCGUAGAUAUUAGGAAGAACACCGGUGGCGAAGGCGGCCCACUGGUCCGGUACUGACGCUGAGGUGCGAAAGCGUGGGGAGCAAACAGG